UUUUAGACGGAGUCUUGCUCUGUCGCCCAGGCUGGAGUGCAGUGGCACAAUCUCGGCUCACUGCAACCUCCGCCUCCCAGGUUCAAGCAAAUCUCCUGCCUCAGCCUCCUGUGUAGCUGGGAUUACAGGCACGCGCCACCACGCCCGGCUAAUUUUUUUUUUUUUUUUUUUUUUUGUAUUUUUAGUAGAGACAGGAUUUCACCAUGUUGGCCAGGGUGGUCUCAAUCUUCUGACCUCAUGAUCCACCCACCUUGGCUCCCAAAGUGCUGGGAUUACAGGCACGCGCCACCAUGCCCAGCUAAUUUUUGUUUUUUGUUUGGUUGGUUUUUGAGACGGAGUUUCGCUCUGUUGUCCAGGCUGGAAUGCAGUGGUGCGAUCUCAGCUCACUGCAAGCUCCGCCUCCCGGGUUCAUGCCACUCUCCUGCCUCAGCCUCCCGAGUAGCUGGGACUACAGGCGCCCACCACUGCGUCCGGUUAAUUUUUUGUAUUUUUAGUAUAGACGGGGUUUCACGUUAGCCAGGAUGGUCUCGAUCUCCUGACCUCGUGAUCCGCCCACCUUGGCCUCCCAAAGUACUGGGAUUACAGGCGUGAACCACCGUGCCCGGCCUUCCCCAGAUAUCUUCAAAGCAACUGCUAGUCCUGCUUUUGCACAUUACACUCUACAUUCUCAUUGCCCCACUUAACUAACCCUCCCUCAUGUCCUUUUCUAAAGAUGUAGAAGACUUUGAAAUAGCAUAACAUUUAAAUGGUCACAAAUCACCUGGCUUGAAAGUGACUAAUAAUAGGAAAAUCAGACCUCAGGACUGAGUUCAAUUUCAAGAUUCUCCCACUCCACUUUGCUAAGAGGGAAACAGAAAAACAUUACUCCAGCCACACAAAUAUGAUACUGUGCAAGUAUCCCACUCUUACUCAUUCAAAUCCUACCCAUUUUUUCCCAUCGUGGAACAGAGUCUUGCCAACUUAUACCUCUCUCCAAUAACCCAUAAAGAUGGUGAUUUGAAUUUGGGCCAAGAUUUAACAUUUUAUGAAAUACAAGAGGAGAGUUUUCUGCAAAACACAGGAUUUGCAGACAAGGAGACUUAGGUUCAAAUUCCAGUUCUGCCAUUUAUUACCUCAGAGAGUUAAAAUCUACCUCAUGGAAUCAUUGCUAAGAUUAAGCAAGAUAUAUAAGUAGAGCUUGUGCACAUGGUAGGUACUUGGAGAAUGUUAUUUCUCCUUCCCUCUUACUCAUCUGGACAAGUUUAACUAGAAUUCUAAACAGUUAAAUAUGUAUCAAUCCUUUGUAUUAAAUAUCUUGAUGGUAAAAUGUUAAAAUAUUGAUGUGAAUAACAGCUGGUAUUGAAUAUUCAAAUUAGGGGAACUCUUUCAUUGUUUUAAGAUAACAUCUGUACAUUUAAUCUGUGCCAUGCAAUAAAACAGCUUUUCCUGAAACAGCUUUUUAAAAACUAUUUUUAAGAAAUUCAUAAGUUACUUUUAAGAACAUUAGCUUAGAACAUCUUCCCCUUUCACAACAAAUUAGACAUUAGAGCCAAAAUUGCCCAAAUUGGUAUAGUUUCUAUCUCCCUACACUUUAAUCAAGAUGUUUGUCUUUAUAUCAGCAAAAACCGCUACUUAAGUGAGAUUCCUGCAUCCCAAUAAAUGUAUCUGGGCAUUUGGUACUUGAGAGAGGAUUGGGUUUGACAACACCCAGAAGCUAAUGAGGAUGUGCCUUCUCUCAGACCUUUGCAUUCAGGAGCAAGAAAGCAGAAAUACUUUGUGGACUCCUUUUCAGACACUUUACAAAAUACAAAAUUUUAACCUUGUGAAACACAAAAUAAAUGCAGGAUAAAUGUCCAAACAUUUUAGCCCCUACUGUUUUUGAAACUGAAUAAAGCCAUGAUAGUGAAAAAUAUUUUCCAGUCAGUGCUUUUUGGAAGCUAUUUAGUAGAUAUUAAUUUGAUGGGUUAGAGAUUGCUAUUAUCCCAUUAAAUGAAGCUGUUUCUACUUCAUAUUCAAAUAUAUUUCAAGUUGAACUUGCUUAAAUCUAAAAUGCUUACACAAGCAAACUGUGGAAAGAAUUUAGUCACGCAAAAGAAAACUUUUUCUUAAUCCUGGAUAAGUCAACUCUAAGAAAGCUGUCCAGAGCCUACAGAGCAAAAAGGACUUUCCUUCCAGCCUCCUCACCAUGUCCAAUCUAGUCCAGAUGUGAAGAGUCAAUUUUGGUUUUAAACAAAAUUUGCAUGCAGCAGCAUUAGAACUAAUGAAAACAGUAUCCAGACUAAGACGUGCAUACAAAAUCUUUCACAUCAUGAGAAACUAAAAAUUUGUUAAAACAUCAGUCGGCAGGAACAGACAUCUCAAGCUCCACUGAUAAGGGAAGCAAAACUGGAACUACAUGCCGCUUUUAAAAGUGUCUCAAAUUUAAGCUCACUCAAGGACUAUUAAUAGACAGUGUCAAACUGACAUGCCGUUUCAUCAUUAAAUCAUCUUAUUGGUUUGCAAGUUUCCAAGCCUCAGGGCUUCAUUAUGCAUCAGCAUAGGACAACACCAGAAUUUGGGGACAAAGACAACAUCCCUUUUUGAAAGAGGUGGUAAGAAUAAAAACAGGUUGGCCAACCUUGGAAGCCACCGCAGUAUGGCUUCCCAUGAACCAAAAAGGCAAUUGAAUUGUAUUUGUUUUCAAGGCAUACGUUUGGAAAAAUAGCACUUUUUCCAAGCAUGUGCUUAGUUAGAACAAAUGAUUUAUUGCUUAAAACCCAGUCUUUUACUCACACGCUUGUGAAAAUAAGAAGAAAUUACCUAUUUCACCAUAGAUUAUUAAAUGGACGUUAACAGUUAUUGACAAUCGAGUCUUGUGAUAAGAAAUUAAAAUUAUAAAGUAAAUCUUCCCGUCUUUAAAUUCUAGGUGGUAGAGUUCUGAGAACACUUACAAUGAACUUUAAGGGAGUAAUUGAUUAUGCUUUUGAAGUCUCCUAUAUUCACAUAUUGGCUGAAAGUAAAGCAUUUUAAAAUUGGAGAAUGAAAUGAAGAGCAAUAACAUUUGUUAUAUGAAAACUGUGGUUUUACUUUUAAAAUGGGAUUUUAAAAAUGUAUUAGUUGGGUCGGGUGUGGUGGUUCACACCUGUAAUCCCAGCACUUUGGGAGGCCAAGGCGGGUGCAUCACCUGAGGUCAGGAGUUUGAGACCAGCCUGGCCAACAUGGUGAAACCCUGUCUCUACUAAAAAUACAAAAAUUAGCUAGGUGUGGUGGCACACGCAUGGGAUCCCAGCUACUCGGGAGGCUGAGGCAGGAGAAUCGCUUGAACCCGGAAGACAGAGGUUGCAGUGAGCCGAGAUCGUGCCAUUGCACUCCAGCCUGGGCAAUGAAGCAAGACUCCAUCUCAAAAACAACAACAACAACAACAACAACAAAUAGCAUAAAAACAGAAAAGGAAAAAUGCAGCUUCCCAACAGACCACUACCAAACCACCAUAACAGACAGUCUGCUAGAAGAGAACUGAUCAGGCCAUUAUGUCACCGGACAACAGGACAAUCAUCUGAGUUGGGAUGCUGAAUCACGGCAACUCCAAGACAUCUGGGAUUUUUUUUUUACCCUCACAUUGGAUACAAUCUAUGGAAUAUUACUACAUUUAGUUCAUUUGUAAUUUACAAUUUUUGAUGACUAAAAUUGGAAAAGGAUUAGUACAUUCCUACUGGCUUUACAUAUUAGUAUUGGGCUGUCACCAUUACCCAGAUUAUUUAAAAUGUAAAUUUUCUUUACUCACUAGAUUGGAAGCUCCUUAAGAGCAAGGGCUACUUCUGUAUUAUUCAUCUUCAUGCCACGUCACUUAGAACCUAGUAGAUACUCAAUAAAUACCUAUUGAGCUGAACUGACCUUGUCUGAGUAAAAGUGAGUCCAAUACACAAGUUACUAGAUUGUAGGUUGGUUUGACACAAACUUAAUUUUGAAACUAAAAAUGAACUAAAGACACACUGCCUGAGAGAAGCAGGCUCUCUAUCCCUGUAUUCCUAUUCUCACGAAUAUAGGUAAACUAAGUUUCCAUUAAGCACAGUAUCUAAAGAUGCUGACACAUCUGCUAGUUUAAUCUCUUUGAAUUGCCUUUCAUGUAUGACCUAAUGUUUAGAAAAUGACAAGGAUCACACAUGUAGAGUGACAUCCCUGAUUAACAGUGAUGAGCAGAGGCCUCAGACCCAGGGGAAGCAGAGAACAUACAUAUUUAGUCCAUAUCACCAAGGCAACACAGUGUACCUCAGCACAGUAGAAAAACAAGCACAGAUGUUGAUGUUGAAUAUUUAAAAAGUGUUCCUUACACCCACUGUAACAGUGGUUAGACACAAAGAUGAAUUAUUUCAAAAACCAAGCUAUUAAAAGUUUUUACUUCUCUAAUGUAUGUAUAUGUGUGCUUUGUUUUUCAUUGCUAAUACUCCAUAGGCAGUCUUGGUCAAAAAACAUUCUCUUAGCAACAAAAAUAAAGGUUCAAAGUUUGAUUCUGACAUAAAUGACUUGUAUAUUCUUUUUAAGAACAUAAGGAGCUACAGGCCUCAAAUAGGGUGCCUCCUCCCCCAAAUAGGGAGACAUCUGAAUUUGAAGCCAGUAAGUCAGCAAAAAAUUAAACUAUCUGUUGAAGAAACCCCCCUGGGAGAUGACUUACAAAUGAGUUCCUGAUGAGACUAUUUAUACUUUCGUGGACCAGGAAUAAAUAAUAUGGUAAGCUGCAGAAUAAAACUGUCAUAACAUAAGGAAAACUACAUGGAACUUGAAAAGGAUAUAGGAAAUAAAAUAUCAGGGCACCUCUAUGGGCUAGGAAAGAGAUGAGAUUUUGGCAGAGAUAAGCAUUCUAAUUAAUGAUGAAGCAGGAAAAAUUCUCCAAGUCUUACCUCAGCACAACUGAAAUAUUACCCCAAUUUAUCAAUCUUCCUUUGCUCAUACCUGUGUUUACCAAGUAACUUCCUGUUUCCUAAUUGUUUACCAUAGGCAGACCUAUCACUAUGAAUUAAUACAUUUAUAUUCUAACUGGGGAAUCUCCAAGUCUCUCAAGUUUCAUCAGUGGGAAAUGGUUUCUCAAGCUGAGGGUCAGACCCUGGAUCUAUGUCCACCUAUGUUACAUCCUGGGAGACCCAGCUGGAACAGCCAGCCAAAUGAUCUCUCUCUUUUUGCUAUCCACCCUCACCUUUCUCACCAACUUCUAACUGUAACACAGGUCACCACAAUCUUGUAUAUGUCUGUAUCCAUCUGAAAAAUAAAAUCACAUGUCAUAUAUUGGUAAACAACCAAAUGAAGAUGGCUAAGACACUAGAAUAACAGCAAGGUUAUUAGGAAGAAAAAUGGUCUUUAUCAAUAAAUAAAUCCACAACUGCUCUUUUAACUCCCCAAACAGAUUACUGUUCUUACUAAAGCAGGUCCAUGUCCCUCAUAUUCCACUUAUAGAAGAUAUACAUUAUUUAAGGAGUCUAGUGGGGACCCAAAUCCAGAUGUUCUGGGCAUCUGUUUGGUAUGACUUUACUCAAAAGAAGGCACUAAAAAAACUGAACCUGAAUCUGAUCAAUCUUAUUUGUUUACAGGAUAUACAGGAGGCAUAAAAACAAGUUAAUGACUUCACAGUGAUACAAUCAACAAAAUCCAGAAUAUGUGUGGAAACUUUAAAGACAAAACAACUAGAUUUCUUAAAUAAUUUAAGGGGGAAAAGAAAAGGUAACUUAUAAAUUAAACAGACUUCAAUAAAUAACAACCAAAUGCAAUGUAUGAACCUUGUGUGGUACCUAUUUCAAGCAAACCAACAGUUAAAGAGAAUUAACAGUCUAGACAGUUGAUCAUAUUAAGAAACAGUUCAACUUUUUAGGUGUGAUAAUGGUAUUGUGGGGUUUUUCUAAUUUUUAAAGAUACACACUAAAGUAGUUAUGACGCCAGGCAUGGUGACUCAUGCCUAUAAUCCCAGCACUUUGGGAGGCUGAUCACUUGAGGCCAGGAGUUCAAGACCAGCCUGGCCAACUAUAAAAUAUAUAAAAAUUAGCUGGGCACGGUGGCUCAUGCCUGUAAUCCCAGCACUUUGGGAGGCAGAGGGGGACGGAUCACUUGAGGCCAAGAGUUCAAGACCAGUCUGGCCAACAUAGCGAAACCCCAUCUCUACCAAAAAUACAAAAUUAGCCGGGCAUGGUGGCACGUGCCUGUAAUCCCAGCUACUCAGGAGGCUGAGGCACAAGAAUCGCUUGAACCCGGGAGGUGGAGGUUACAGUGAGCCAAGAUCGUACCACUGCACUCCAGCCUGGGCAACAGAGCAAGACCCUGUUUCAAAAAAAAAAAAAAAAGAAUAAAGUAGUUAUGGAUGAAAUGAUAGGAUGUCUGGGAUUUGCUUCAAAAUAAUUGGGGGGUGGGGAGAAAUAAUUGAGGUAUAGAUGAAAUAAGACUGACCAUAAACUGAAACUGGGUGAUGGAUAUGGAGAGGUCCAUUAUACUAUUCUCCAGACUUCUUAAUAUGUUUAGAAUUUUCCAUUGAAGUUUUUUUUAAAAAAACAAUCAACAAAACACACACACACACACACACACACAUACACACACACACACACACACACACACGAGAAUGAGCACUGCUGGGUCCCCUGGAGUAAUAGAAUAAAAUUCCUAGUCUAGUUUCUAGCCCCAUUUAACUAGACAGUUUCUCUAGAGGUCUACCAUAAAAUGGCAAUCCAUUGACCAAGUCCUGCUCUUCACUCUUAUAUCAUUAGCCUAAGAAAGGACAUUAGUUGUAUGAGUUUGCUUACUUACCAGAUACCUUUUAAUGUCCAAGUUUGCUACCCAAUUUUAACUUGAGUUUAAGAAAACUUAAAAUAAUUUCUGAAGCUAAC
rnacentral:lncRNA from 10 species